rnacentral:rRNA from 1 species
UACCUUUUGUAUCAGGGUUGAUUAAAAAUAAAUUAAUAAAAUUAAAAAUCUCGAAAUUGAAAGAGCUAAAUAUAUAAAAUUUUUUUUGUUAAAUUAAAAUUAUAAAUAUAUAUUUAGAAAUUAAAUGUUAUUCGUUUUCAAUUAUAUCUAGUUUUUUUUGAAUUAAAUUUAAUUUAAAUAUUUAUAUAGAAUAAUUUUUUAUAUAAAAAAUUAUUUUUAUAAAUAUAAAUAAUUUAUGGGAUAAACUAUAAAUUAUAAAAUUUAAUAUGUAUAAUAUAUAUAAAUUUAUAAAAAAAAUUAAUUUUGAAAUUGAAAUAAUUUAUUAAAUAUGUAAAAAUUUAUUAGAAAAUAAAUUUUAAUGAAUAUAAAUUUUUUAAAAAAAAAAUAAAUUAAAUGAAAAAUUUAUGAUAAAAUGAUUAAAUUAGUAAUAUAAAAUGUAUAAUUAAUUUAUAGAUAAAUUUAUAUAUGUAUAUAUAUAGUUAAGGAAUUCGGCAAAAUUUAUAUUCACCUGUUUAACAAAAACAUGUCUUUUUGAAUUAAUAAUUUAAAGUCUAUUCUGCUCAAUGAAGUUUUAAAUAGCUGCAGUAUUUUGACUGUACAAAGGUAGCAUAAUCAUUUGUCUUUUAAUUGAAGGCUAGAAUGAAGGAAUGAAUGAAAUAUAAACUGUCUCAAUUAUAUAAAUUGAAUUUAAAUUUUAAGUAAAAAUGCUUAAAUAUAUUUGAGGGACGAUAAGACCCUAUAGAAUUUUAUAUAAUAUAAAUUUAAUAAUUUAUAUUAUAUUUGAUUGGGAGGAUUUUUAAAUAUAAUAAACUUUAAAUUUUUAAAAUAUUAAUUAAUAGAAUUAAAUUGAAAUAUUUUAUAAUAUAAGAAUAAAUUACCUUAGGGAUAACAGCGUAAUAUUUUUGGAAAGAUCAUAUUGAAAAAAAUGUUUGCGACCUCGAUGUUGAAUUAAAAUUAAUUAUAAAUGCAGUUGUUUAUAAAUUAAGUCUGUUCGACUUUUAAAAUUUUACAUGAUUUGAGUUCAGAUCGACGUGAGUCAGAUUGGAUUUUAUCUUCAAAUAAUUUAAAGAUUUUUGUACGAAAGGACU